GGAACCCCGGUCCAUCGACUUACUCAUCCCUUAUAUUCUGUCUCCUUCACUCCCCUCGUAUCUGACCCAUCACUAACCUGUUCAUUUCUUGCCCAGAAUCCCCUGGAUUGCCCCUGGAAUCCACCUGCUUUUCCCAUCUCCACAGCCUCCACCCCAAGGGAACACAGCAUCGUGUCUUGCCUGGUGCCCGCACAGCCCCCUGACUAGUCUAGUGGCUUCCACAGAUGUUCCCUCGCCCCCUCUGCACUCCUGGGGCAGACUGAAUGAGCUUUUAAAGAAACACAUCUCGUCCUUUGCCCCUUCUGCUGGGGACCUGCCCUGCUCCCCUCACACCUGAGUAAGUAAGGCCCAAGGCCCAGCCUGCCCAUCUCAGCCUCGCCUGUACCUCCUUCCUUGUCCAUCCCUGCUCCAGCCCCUGGGCCUUUGCACAUGCUGUUACCUCUGCCUGGAACACCCUCCCUGCUCCCCUUCCUGGCCACUCCCAGAGGUCCCCCAUCUCAGCUCUGCUGUCAUUCCCCAAGGGACCUUCCCUAUCCUUUCUGGACCAGGUGGGCAUGACUGUGUGGUCUCCUUUUCCUUGGUGACACUUACACACCUCAUGGGGUCCUUCACUUCCUAUUUGUCUUUUCCACUAGACUGUCAGCUCAUGUGUUUUUGUUUGUCACGAGAUGCACAGCAGUGACCGUAGGAAUUCAUUAAAUACAUAUAGGAUGAAUGAAUGAGAUACAAAUAAUAACCUCGUAGCUGGAAAUCAGAGGCUAGAAAGGGUGAAUGCGAGAGCGAGGCUGUGGGGGCCGCAGGACAGGUGUCUGAGACCCCAGGGUCCGCCGCCCCCCUCCUCACACACACCCAUCCCUUCCCUGUUCUCUCCGGAGGAGGAUUCCGGCCUCCGUCUGCAUCCGCCUGCGGGGUCUCUGUUCUCAUUGCUGUUCGUGCCUCAAGAAGCAAACAUGGCACGUUCCUGAGUCACGAUACGACACACACACGUCCGUUAGUCACCCAGGAGGCUCGGUUCAUCAAGAGAUUUGGAGGCAGUUGUUGAAGCACGUGUGGACGACUCACCAGGCCCUUGUCGGCGCAUCGGCAGACUGGAAACCCUGCUCGCCUUUUCCACGUGGACGAGUGUCCUCACGCCGGGGCCUGGCCAGGGGCUCGCUCCCCAUGUCUGAGGGCGCCGAGUCCCCGCUGUGGCCGCUGGCUCAGGGCCCAGCUGGGGUCCGACGGAGGGGGCGGCAGAGCAGGGCUGCAGGGCAGGAGUGCUUCCUGGUGGCGAUGGUGAGGCGGCCUCCUGAGGACGCUGGUGAUGGGGCAGCGUCUCCCCUCCACUCUCCUCUCGUGCCUUCAUCGUCAUUUAGGUGGAAAAUCAAGAGUGUCGUGCUCCGCCCAGGGCUCCGUGUCCGCCGCCGGGUUUUCCAGGAUCUAAAGUUGAAGAUAAAUGGUCCGUGACAGUUUGUUUCUGAGAUGUGAGUGUUUUAAUUGUAUUAAAUUUGGGAAAUUUAGAACCAUGCAAAAAUGAAUUUUUAUUUUCACUUUUUUAGUAUUCUGCCUAAUCCAAAUUUCUAUAUCCAAAUUAACUGCAUCCAAUUCAAUAUCCAGGCCUGGUCAGUUCUGAGUAAAUGUGUCAUAUCACAAUCAGAUUCAGUCAGACUGUACCUCCACCUUCUUCACAGGAGGUGUGGGUCUGGGUGCAUCUGGUUUCAUGACCAUCAGCUCCCUCUGCACAGACAUCUGUGGAGAUGUCCAUCCGGAGCUGGUCCUUGUGGGCGGCUGGAUGGAGGGAUGCAGGGAUGACGGGCUGACGGAGGAUGGGUUGAGGGAUCAGGGAUGAGGAACUGAUGGAGGAUGGAUGGGUGGAGGGAUGCAGGGACGGACCGACUUUUGGAGAAUGGACAGGUGGAGGGAUGCAGGGAUGACGGAAUGAUGGAGGAUGGACGGGUGGAGGGAUGCAGGGAUGAUGGACUAAUGGAGGAUUGAUGGGUGGAGGGAUGUGCACAGUGGUGUAUGAUGUGUCUGUGACCUUCUCCUCCACACCCCACUUCAGGCCUCAGUGACCAGCUCUCUCUCACUUCCUAGCAGUGGCCAGCCUUUCAAAGACAAGGACCUAUGUGGCUUCAUCCACGAUCUCACUACCACCAAAAACAUCUUGAGGAAAUCAUCACAAAAGGAAACAGGGGCAGUCCAAGUCAGACAUUAUUUGUCCCAAGGAGGAUGUGAAAACUCAGUAGAGAUUUAAGAUAAAGGCUUCACUGCAAAUCUUCACUGCACCACCAGAGCUCAGAGAGAAGCGUACACACGACAAAUGUCUGACACAAACAUGUUGACGUUCUUCUCUGCGGACGAUCGAAGGUACCUGCACACGGCCCGCUGUGGUGUCGCUCGCCUGUGUAGCACCCCCACCUUCUCUGCACCGCCCACACCCGUGUCCGCGGCUCCGAGCGCCCUCAGGUCCACCUGCUCCCACGGUCCGGCUGCUCGUGCCGCCUGGACGUCACUCCAGCUGCUGACACGCUCAGUCCCACGUGUCCCGUCUCCUCGGGAGUUCCAGGGCCCCAGGGGGACUGAGGAGGCCGCAGAGGCAGGGGAGGCCACGGACACCAGGGAGGCCGGAGACUGGGGAGGACAUAGACACAAGGGAGACCACGGAGACUGGGGAGGCCACGGAGGUUGGGGAGACCAGAGACCAGAGAGGCCGGGGAGUCCGCGGAGACCAGGGAGACCACGGGCAUUGCCCCUCGGUCCCCACAGCCCGGGCGCUGCUCACGUCCCCGAAGGUUGAGAACAAGCCCGACGGUGGAGGCUCAGGGCUGCGCUGGGAGGAGCACGACCCAGAUGCGGCUCC
ensembl:lncRNA